UACGGGGGGAGCAAGCGUUGUUCGGAUUUACUGGGCGUAAAGGGCGCGUAGGCGGCCUCCGCAAGUCAGUUGUGAAAUCUCCGAGCUUAACUCGGAAAGGUCAACUGAUACUGCGGGGCUAGAGUGCGGAAGGGGCAACUGGAAUUCUUGGUGUAGCGGUGAAAUGCGUAGAUAUCAAGAGGAACACCUGCGGCGAAGGCGGGUUGCUGGGCCGACACUGACGCUGAGGCGCGAAAGCUAGGGGAGCGAACCGG
rnacentral:rRNA from 1 species